rnacentral:rRNA from 1 species
GAUUAACGCUAGCGGCAGGCAUAAUACAUGCAAGUUGAACGGCAGCACAGGUAGCAAUACUGGGUGGCGAGUGGCGCACGGGUGCGUAACACGUAUGCAACCUACCCUAUACAGGCGAAUAACCUUUAGAAAUGAGGGCUAAUACGCCGUAGUAUUACAGAUGGGCAUCUAUUUGUAAUUAAAGAUCUAUCGGUAUAGGAUGGGCAUGCGUCCCAUUAGUUAGUUGGUAAGGUAACGGCUUACCAAGACGAUGAUGGGUAGGGGAUCUGAGAGGACUUACCCCCACACUGGUACUGAGACACGGACCAGACUCCUACGGGAGGCAGCAGUAAGGAAUAUUGGGCAAUGGCCGCGAGGCUGACCCAGCCAUGCCGCGUGCAGGAAGACGGCCUUAUGGGUUGUAAACUGCUUUUAUACGGGAAUAAUAGAGUGUACGCGUACAUUUAUGCAAGUAUCGUAUGAAUAAGCAUCGGCUAACUCCGUG